rnacentral:rRNA from 1 species
AUUGAACGCUGGCGGCAGGCCUAACACAUGCAAGUCGAGCGGAUGAAGGGAGCUUGCUCCUGGAUUCAGCGGCGGACGGGUGAGUAAUGCCUAGGAAUCUGCCUGGUAGUGGGGGAUAACGUCCGGAAACGGGCGCUAAUACCGCAUACGUCCUGAGGGAGAAAGUGGGGGAUCUUCGGACCUCACGCUAUCAGAUGAGCCUAGGUCGGAUUAGCUAGUUGGUGGGGUAAAGGCCUACCAAGGCGACGAUCCGUAACUGGUCUGAGAGGAUGAUCAGUCACACUGGAACUGAGACACGGUCCAGACGCCUACGGGAGGCAGCAGUGGGGAAUAUUGGACAAAGGGCGAAAGCCUGAUCCAGCCAUGCCGCGUGUGUGAAGAAGGUCUUCGGAUUGUAAAGCACUUUAAGUUGGGAGGAAGGGCAGUAAGUUAAUACCUUGCUGUUUUGACGUUACCAACAGAAUAAGCACCGGCUAACUUCGUG